CCUGUGUAUGUCCCACCAUCACCCAGACAAAGGCACAUUGAGUGUCCGUUGACUGAAGCCUGAAGCGUUGAGCCGUUUUAGGGACUGGGAGACUCAUUAGUUAAACUGUGAGGCUCCCUCUGUCCCUUGUCCUAUAGUUAAUGAAUUACGCCCAUCUGCUUAGACAGGCUGCAUUGACGAGUCAUUUUCAGCUCAACUGGAAUGUGGAACUAGGAGGCCACUUUGUGUUUCUCUAAUGCUCCAGAGUGUUGAGUGUUUCAAACCUUCUGUCUGUUUGUCCCUCUCCUUAUCUAGUUUGCGACAAUUUGUGGAGAGUUGUUUUUGGUACCUUUCUGUAGUCGAUGGUGGGGGUCUCCACCGCGGGGAUGAGGUCCUGGAUGAUGUUGUUGAACAGCGACAGGUCGACGGAGGACACCUUGGUGUUGUUCAUGUCCUUCAUUGACAUCAGCAGGAUCUGGUCUGGGGUCAGAGGUCAGGGGCAUGACGUCACAUCCUGUUUGAGCCACAGCGAGAUUUACCUUUCACAUAGAAAUGAUGUUGUAGCUGGGAAACUCAACAAAUAUGUGGAACUGUGAAUUUAUACCGAAGUACAGAAGUACUACUGAAGCUCGCUAUCAGGUAAAAUAUUAAUCCUUUUCAUGUUUCUGUCCUCUGAUGCAUAUUUUAUGACAGUGCCAGGUUCCCUAUGGGGUGUCAAACUCUCAUCUGCAUUCUGUGUCUAUCUGCAGCUCCCUGCUCCCACACUCAGAGCACAGUCUCACACACACACACACACACACUCUCCCACACACUUCUGCGCACACUAGCACACUCGCACACAAACAGGUACAUGUAGGGAGGAAGGCCUUUCAACACAUUGUGCCUAGAGGAAGUUAUAUUACAAUGAGACAGGGGCAGAAAAACAUUCCUGGAGUCUGACAUGUUUGAGGUCAAUCACAGGUCAAAACAGUCUAUUCAGGAGAUUCAUUGAAAUUCCAGGAAUUGGAAAGUGCCAUUGGCCAAUUUAUUCAAAGGGGGAAUUUCAAAAUGAAAUCUUUCUUUCUCUUUGAUGUCUGUCUGUCUGUCUGUCUGUCUGUCUGUCUGUCUGUCUGUCUGUCUAACUGACAAUGCCUCUGUUUCUCUCUCUCUGAAUGUAUCUCCUUCUCUGUCUAUGAAUUGAAGUCAAAUGUAAAACCCUGGUCAGUGUGUGGGGCGAUAGAUGUGUUGUACAUUACUGCUGUGUUAGCUCUUCAUCACCCACCUUGUGCAGACUAGUCUGUUCUUGCCAGCAUAGUCAGAGUGGUCAUGUUUUGACAGCUGCUGCACCACCAGAGAGUACAGGGUGAACUCCGUCUUGGCCAGGAGCUGGAGAAAGAGGAGGGAGAGAGGUGGUAGGGAGAGAGAGAAAGAGAGAGAGAGAGAGGUGGAAGGGAGAGAGAGAGGUGAAAGGGAGAGAGAGUGAAAGAAAUGAACCUAGAGCCAGCUGGUUCUGGGGCUCUGUUCAGAAACACACAGACCCCACAGAGCCUCAGGACAAAGCAUGACCACAGUGACUGACCCUACCUUAAGAACAUCCUUGACUAUGUACAGACAUAGCAUAGCCUUGCCAUUGAGAGAGGCCUGUCAUCUCGAGAGAGAUGAUAGGCCACAUGCCCACUACCCACAAAACAAGGUGGAAACCGAGCCGCACUUCCUAACCUCCUGCCAAAUGUAGGACCACAUUAGAUACACAUAUUUCCCACAGAUCACACAGACCCACAAAGUUGAAAACAAAUCCAACAUUGAUAAACUCCCAUAUCUGUUACGAGAAAUACAGCAGUGUGUAUUUACAGCAGCAAGAUUUGUGUUUCCUUGUUCAGGUGGCGUUCGGCGGUCGACGUCACCGGCUUUCUAGUCACCACCGAUCCAUGUUUCAUUUUCGUUUUGUUUUGUCUUCAUUAUACACACCUGGUUUCUAUUCCAUAAUCAGUGUUCCUUAUUUAACCCUCUGGCUUCCCCUUUUGUGUUGUGCGUGAUUGUUUCUGUCAAGUGGCUCCGUGUACGUGUUCUGGAUUGUUUAUGUUUAUCCUUGUUGGAUUAUUGUUGAAUUUGAGUAAAUAUCGUGCCUUUACUCAUACCCGUGUCCUGCGCCU
rnacentral:lncRNA from 13 species